UUCCCGUAGGGGGUACCUGCGGAGGGAUCAUUACCGAGUUUACAACUCCCAAACCCACUGUGAACCUCUACCGUCACGUUGCUUCGGCGGGGUCAGCCCCGGGGUUCGCCCCGGAACCAGGCGCCCGCCGGAGGACCAGAAACAAAACUCUCGUGUAUCGCACGCCUUUGUAUACUCUGAGUGGCUCGCAAGAGCAAAGAAAAAAAAUGAAUCAAAACUUUCAACAACGGAUCUCUUGGUUCUGGCAUCGAUGAAGAACGCAGCGAAAUGCGAUAAGUAAUGUGAAUUGCAGAAUUCAGUGAAUCAUCGAAUCUUUGAACGCACAUUGCGCCCGCCAGUAUUCUGGCGGGCAUGCCUGUCCGAGCGCCAUUUCAACCCUCGAGCACCCCCGGGUGCCCGGCGUUGGGGGACGGCACCGCCCUCGCAGCGGUCCCGCCGCCCCCGAAAUACAGUGGCGGUCUCGCCGCAGCCUCCCCUGCGUAGUAGUGAAAGCAAACUCGCACCGGAGCGCGGCGCGGCCACGCCGUAAAACCCCCCAACCUUACGAAAUGUGGCCUCGGAUCAGGAGGAAAUACCCGCUGAAUUUAACCAUAUCAAUAACCGAGAAGGAGAGAUCAU
rnacentral:rRNA from 1 species